AGAAUAGGCAUGGAAAGCAGGAAGAAAAACAACGAAAACAAAUUGGAACUGAUCUUUACUAUUUUUCAUACUUAAGAGCUGUGUUAUACUGGAUCAAGAUUCAUGAUCUACAAAACUGAAAAGAAAAAGAUCUCCCUAGAAAAUAAAUGCCAACGAAAGACAAGAAAUCAAUUCACUCCAUUUAUGCAGACAUCUUUUGAAUAAUGACCAUGUGCCCAAACCACCAGAUGCAUAGAAUAUUCAAAAUCUAGGAGAACAUUGUGGCCAAAGGAAAAAUGUGUAUAAAUAAAAGCCAAUUCAAGGAAAUAUGUUUUUAGGGACAUGUAUUAGCUUGGUGGAUAGCUAUGGUAGAAUUAGACUGGAAAUGU